rnacentral:lncRNA from 1 species
CGCGGAAAAGGGCGCGGGGAGGUGCACGCGCUGCUGUGCUCUGAGGGGCCGGGGACCGCAGCGCUCCUCACGGGGCUCUGGGGCUGCCGGUGGCGGCGCGCUCGUCCUUCCUGGCCUCGGGAGAGAUCGCUUCCAGGAAUUGAGGGGCUGCGGAGGCAGGAAAUCCUGCGGGGCCCCGUGCAGGGAGCGGCCGCAACGGCAUCACCUCCGCGCGCGGGAGGGUGGGGUCCCAGCCGCCUCCUUCCCGCUCCGUGUGAGCAUCCGCACGAUGAAAUGUGGAACUUGACUGUGAGAUGAAGGGGUGUGUGUGUGCCUCCCUGAACUGUGAAUACUCCUGUUUAACAUUGCUGACGAAUCUGACGAGUAAAUCCCACCUCACUGCUCGCUUCAGUUUCCCCAAACAGAACUUUGAUCCUGAAUCGUAGCUAAAAAACAACGUUAAACCCGUUUUCUGCCCCGGGUGCUUCCCAUUUACGCUGUCCUCCGGGUGUCUGACCUCUCUAUCAACGAUACACUAACAGAAGUCUUUAGAGAGAACAAUAGCGGGAUGCCGCCAUCUAGCUCAGAGCUAAUUUUAUCUACAUUAUGUCUUUGAUGGAAAGCAUAUCCAAGCAGAAAGUCUAUUUCUCUGCAGCAAUAGAAGGCACGUCAGCAGCAUGGAGACAUUAAUGAACAAAACAGAGUAAAUUAUGUCCCCCAGAAGCUGUGGGUCCUCUCCUCCAACCUGUCCACAAGAGUUCAGUAAUGUGAAUAGUUCUUAUGCAGCUGUAAUGUGAGAUGAUGCUUGUAUAUGGUGUUAAACCACAUCCAUAAAAUCUCCACUGAUAAUAGUCUUUCCAGAAGCAGCCUUCAGAGCAUUCAAUUGGUGAAGUCAUUAUGGUUUGGAACCGGGAAACUGAGGCAGCACUUUGCAGUCCUUUCAUAUAAAAUUGCAAGCAAAAUCACAGAGGCAUCAUUAAAAAUUACAAAACAUAAUUGCUGUUUAUUCUUUGUGUUGCCUGAGAGCUACAGUGACAAACAGAGCUCUGCUUGUGUCUGUGCAAACACUGUGUGAUCUUACAAACAUGUUUUGAAUGCAUUAUGUACAAUGAUUUGGUUCAAGGACAAUUUAAAACUUUCACCAGCUUCUUCAGCAGGCUUGACUAAAGGUUCCCUGACCUCCCUGGGAUAGCUAAGAUUGCAAAGAUGUUCAGAAAUUAUAUGUAAAAUGACAAAAACUGUCUCAUGUGCAGUUUCCAAAGGGUACUAUAUAAUGUCUCGCUUGGACAGAAUAGAGUGCCGCUGCUGGGCCUGUCUGACCCCCAGUUUCUGCUGGCAACAAGCCCAGAUAAACGUCCCGGGGGAGAGCCACCAUCCGGGGUUUCCAGGCAGUCUCCAGCCAGGGGUAACCCUUAGGAGCACAGGCAGAGGCCUUUGGUGACCAGCUCUUUUAGAAGGUGAUUUCUGCUCUGUGAUCAGCUCAGUUCAGCCCAGCCAGGUCCCUUCAGGAGUUACCCCAGGUGACGCUGACAAGAGAUAGGAAGACCAUGUGGCAUUCCACAGAAAGUCUUUAAUGCAGGCUUCAGCGAAGGGGGCCAGUGAUGAUCUAACCACUGAUCUGGGCAAAAGCUGGGUUUUUUAUGGGGAAGGGGAGAAUUGGGAAGGGGACCAAUGGUCUGAGAUGGGGAUAAGAUGACCAAUAGUUAACAGGGAGAUAACAUGUGUCCUGAGGCAGAAAGGGGUCCACAGCUCAGUCACCAUGACUAGGCAGUUUUAUCUUAUCUUAGGGGACAGAUCUCCAGGGAGGAUGCCUGUCAUACUGGGCUUCCUCCACAAUAGAGUUUGGAUUCAAUACACUGCCAGUCUUUGAGAGGGCUCAGAUUGAUGCCCAAAAUGUCUCUUCAUGCAGAGGGACCUUCUGUAAAUAGUAAAAAAUAUUUACCUCCUACAGCAAUUGGUGGACUUUCCUAAUAAAAGAAAGGAAGAGUUAAAAUAUUAAUAUUUA